GACGAAGGAUGCAAGCGUUAUCCGGAUUCAUUGGGUUUAAAGGGAGCGUAGGUGGCCUGCUAAGUCAGUGGUGAAAUCUCUGGGCUUAACCCAGAAAUUGCCAUUGAUACUGGUGGGCUUGAGUGCAGUUGCUGUUGGCGGAAUACGACAUGUAGUGGUGAAAUACAUAGAGAUGUCAUAGAACACCGAUUGCGAAGGCAGCUAACAAAACUGUAACUGACACUGAGGCACGAAAGCGUGGGGAGCAAACAGG
rnacentral:rRNA from 1 species